rnacentral:misc_RNA from 1 species
GUGAUGAGCCAGCCGAAUGUAAAAUUGACACAUCAGAGGUGGAAUCUGUUCCAAAUGUGCAGAAUGUUGAUCAGAAUAGCACUUUUGUAAGCGAAUCUGCCAUAUCUAAGGUAGAUGAUAACCUAGUUGCUGAAACAAAUAAGAUUGAAAAUGAAGAACCAGCGGGAGGAGAUAAGACUGGCAAUGAGGAACUUGUAAGAGACGCUGAGAAGGAAGCUGAAAAUGAUGAAUGUGUAAGUGGUGGUAAGAAUGAGAAUGAGGAUUCUGCGAGAGGUGAUAAGAAUGAAAGUGCGGAUCCUGCAAGAGGUGAUAAGAAUGAAAAUGAAGAACCCAGUAAAGGAAAUGAGAUAAAGAACAAGGAAACUGGGGAACAAGAAAAAACAGAAAAUGACGAAGACAAAGAAGACAAAGAAGACAAAAGUGAAGCAGAACCUAGUAAGGAGGCUGCUCCUUUGAGC